AGAAUGGUGAUGCAAUGGGUAGCACUGUUGCCUCACAGCAAGAAGGUCCUGGGUUCAAAUCUCAGCCUUUCUG
rnacentral:tRNA from 1 species